UACAGAGGGGGCAAGCGUUGUUCGGAAUUACUGGGCGUAAAGGGCGCGUAGGCGGCCUGCUAAGUCGAACGUGAAAUCCCCGGGCUCAACCCGGGAACUGCGUCCGAUACUGGCAGGCUUGAAUCCGGGAGAGGGAUGUGGAAUUCCAGGUGUAGCGGUGAAAUGCGUAGAUAUCUGGAGGAAUACCGGUGGCGAAGGCGGCAUCCUGGACCGACAUUGACGCUGAACGGCGAAAGCUAGGGGAGCAAACGGG
rnacentral:rRNA from 1 species